rnacentral:tRNA from 1 species
GCCUGGGUGGCUCAGUGGUUGAGCGUCUGCCUUUGGCUCAGGUCAUGAUCCCCGGGUCCUAGGAUCAAAUCCUGCAUCAGGCU